rnacentral:lncRNA from 1 species
CUCCCACCCAGCUAGGGUCCAUCCUGGGGACAGAUGUCGCCCAAAAGGACCAUAGCAAAAAUGGGCCAAGUGAGCGACAAAGUGUGGAGACUUCUGAGAUUGGCUUGGGGUUGGCACUUACAGAACAAUAAACUGAGCCUUUGAAGAGGCUAAACAAAGGAACCAUUUGUCUACUCCAGCAGCUACAAAGGAAGGCAACCUCGCAGAGGACUGAGGAGUAAAAGAACGCCGCGCUGGGGAGAGGACCAGAGUAACGUUUAGUGGGUUGAGCCCAGGACCCUCCGCAAGGAUAUGAAGUCAGUGGGGAAGAAUGUUCCUGCAGUGACACACUGUUCUCUUCCGGGAGACAAAUCUCACUGGACUGUUCACCUGGAGUCCCAACCCUGUGGGUGAUAACAGAGCUGCCCUUCUGGAGACCCACUUCUUAGAACCCCAACAACACCCUAAAACAAGAGAGACACAGCCUUAGAGUGUUCCUAGACCAGCAAACCAGGAAUGCUUGGUCAGCCGACACCUACUACUAACUUCCAAAAGGAUGUAGAAAGACCAAAGCUGUCCCUUAAACAGUGUCCUUAAAAGCGGGCCUGAAGGAGUUGGUAAGGAGGGAGCUGGAAACUCGUUUUAAGGAGCCACCACAUCCUUCGCCCCGCAGGAAACCCCCGCGCGCCGGACGCCCCUGCCCCCACCAACCUCCCUCCCUCAGUUGGCAUCCGGACGCGGUGAUCUCGGCUGCCAGUAGAGGGCACACUUACUUUACUUUCGCAAACCCCAGCGUGGGUGCAGCCUCGGGAGGGGGGCGGGGAAAAGACGCUUUGCAGCAAAACCUUGACUAGGGAUUGGUCCCUUCCCAGCGUUUGCGGCAAAGGCCCAGAGGCUGGAGUAAUUUGCAACCCUUAAAGACGAAUUGCGCUGUGCGCUUGAUUUGGAGGAAGUUGCUACUCACUUAACAAUUGAACGCUGAGCUGCAAACUCAACGGGUAAUAAUUUAUCUCAAACAUGCUCUGCAAGAUCUUCUCCUCCCCCCCCCCCCGGAUUUUCUUCUGUUUGGAAUGGGGAGGGCGGGUAAGGAAAAGUUUACUUAAAAUGCUUUCGGGUCAAGGACCACGGUGGGGAGAUUGCCUUU